rnacentral:rRNA from 1 species
GGGGAUAACACUUGGAAACAGGUGCUAAUACCGGAUAACAACCAAAACCACCUGGUUUUGGUUUAAAAGACGGCUUCGGCUGUCACUUUAGGGUGGACCCGCGGCGUAUUAGCUUGUUGGUAAGGUAACGGCCUACCAAGGCGAUGAUACGUAGCCGACCUGAGAGGGUAAUCGGCCACAUUGGGACUGAGACACGGCCCAAACUCCUACGGGAGGCAGCAGUAGGGAAUCUUCCACAAUGGACGAAAGACUGAUGGAGCAACGCCACGUGAGUGAUGAAGGGUUUCGGCUCGUAAAACUCUGUUGUUGGAGAAGAACAGGUGUCAGAGUAACUGUUGACAUCUUGACGGUAUCCAACCAGAAAGCCACGGCUAACUACGUGCCAGCAGCCGCGGUAAUACGUAGGUGGCAAGCGUUGUCCGGAUUUAUUGGGCGUAAAGCGAGCGCAGGCGGUUUUUUAGGUCUGAUGUGAAAGCCUUCGGCUUAACCGGAGAAGUGCAUCGGAAACUGGGAGACUUGAGUGCAAAAGAGGACAGUGGAACUCCAUGUGUAGCGGUGAAAUGCGUAGAUAUAUGGAAGAACACCCAGUGGCGAAAGCGGCUGUCUGGUCUGUAA